UGGUAACAUUUCACCUAGAGCAGAAAAAUUUCCCCACUGACAAGGGACCAGUUUGACCCGAAGACAGUGUUCAGUUCCUCCGAGGGACAGUUUUGGAGAUUUGGGUCCGACGUGGGAGCGUAGAAGAGAAUUUACAAGAAGCUCCUUCUGCGCACCCGUCCGAGGAGCGGGUGUAGACGUGAAGAGACUGCGCGUUCCUCGCCGCGUCCGGGGAAGCAAAUAAACACGGAUUUUCUUGAGGAAAAUGAAUGGGCCCAGAGACCACGUUUCAUGCCUUAGUGAACCCCCGACUCCCUCCUUCGAAGGCCAUCUGUCCUUGAGACAAAAAGACCACUUUUUGAAAAAGAUGCCGUUGUUGGUGUGCGAAUCCUGGAAGGAGCCAAGAUUUGGGAAAAUUGUCUCUGCCACCUUCUAAGCUACUCUUCAUAUCAAGUAAAACCCAACUCAUGGGAUUGGGACACGUUUUGGUGAGAUAAAAUAUGUAAAAUACCCAGUAUUCCGUAAAUGAUAACUAUUGUUACAAUCCUCGUUUGCAGAAAAAUUCACCUCAGAGGAUUCCCAUAGGCAUAAAAGACUUCAAGCAAACAUCAUUGGGUAAUAGUUGCACUCGUCGUUGGUAAUAGUGCUUUGAUUGGAAGGAUUCUGAGUCGGAGCCCACACUCGGGGGACUGGGUCUGUCAUCUGGAAGCAAUCGUGCCUCGUGCCCUGUCCAGGAAGGGUCAGCACUGUCCUAUGCUUUUUCCACAUAGACGGCAAGGAUCUUUCCAAAGAUUCCAAGCCCCCUGGAUUCUCUCGGAGAUCUGAUGAAGCCUCUGAACCUGUCUUAGAAAAAAUGAUUUUAAGUCAAUAAUGUAAAAUGCACUUUAAAAGACAGCCAUUAAAGGGGUGCCUGGGUGGCUCAGUUGGUGAAGCAUCCGAC